GAUGAACGCUGGCGGCGUGCUUAACACAUGCAAGUCGAACGAAGCAUUUAGGACAGAUUACUUCGGUUUGAAGUUCUUUAUGACUGAGUGGCGGACGGGUGAGUAACGCGUGGGUAACAUGCCUUGUACUGGGGGAUAGCAGCUGGAAACGGCUGGUAAUACCGCAUAAGCGCACAAUGUUGCAUGACAUGGUGUGAAAAACUCCGGUGGUAUAAGAUGGACCCGCGUCUGAUUAGCUAGUUGGUGAGAUAACAGCCCACCAAGGCGACGAUCAGUAGCCGAGCUGGGAGGGUGACCGGCCACAUUGGGACUGAGACACGGCCCAGACUCCUACGGGAGUCAGCAGUGGGGAAUAUUGCACAAUGGAGGAAACUCUGAUGCAGCGACGCCGCGUGAGUGAAGAAGUAAUUCGUUAUGUAAAGCUCUAUCAGCAGGGAAGAUAGUGACGGUACCUGACAAAGAAGCUCCGGCUAAAUACGUG
rnacentral:rRNA from 1 species